AGAAUCGACAGAAGAGCUUGAGAAAAUCAUAGCUGACUACUCCAAUUCCACUCAUAGUGAAGCAAUUGGUGCAACUUCGGUAGGAAUGGAUGCAGGCACAACCUUCGAAGGUGGAGCAGCUUUGAAGCACCCUUUGACAGCCUUGGCAGAUGGAGCCCCAUCUCCUACAACUCAUUCCUUGGCCCCUCCUCCUUCCUCUUCUACCUC
rnacentral:lncRNA from 1 species